CUGAGACUGAGAUCAGAAGUUUAACACCUAGUCCAGAAGAAAGAGAUUCUCUUACCACUGAAAAGAAACCAUCACAAGUAAUUAUGGACUCAAGCUUACAAAUGCAGCAAAAGGAAUGGGAGCCUAUAGACUGUAGUGUCUACAUGAGAAAAACAAUGUCUGAGUCUGUUCUAAGAACUGAGUCUAUCAUUCAGCGGCAAGAGAUGCAUAAAGCAGAAAAAAUCAACCAUUUUAGGGAACUUCGAGAGCUGGCUUUGGAAGAAAGAAAAAAAGAACAAAACGCUAGAACUUUAUUGAAGCAAAAUAUACUUGAAAUGUAUGAGAAUCUGCAGGUAGGUUUAACUGUUACUGUGAUAUCCAGCACUAGCACAAAUAUCUUGUUUUAAAGUAGAUCA
rnacentral:lncRNA from 1 species